rnacentral:rRNA from 1 species
UACGAAGGGGGCUAGCGUUGUUCGGAAUUACUGGGCGUAAAGGGCGCGUAGGCGGCCUGCUAAGUCGAACGUGAAAUCCCCGGGCUCAACCCGGGAACUGCGUCCGAUACUGGCAGGCUUGAAUUCGGGAGAGGGAUGCGGAAUUCCAGGUGUAGCGGUGAAAUGCGUAGAUAUCUGGAGGAACACCGGUGGCGAAGGCGGCCCUCUGGACGGAUACUGACGCUGAGGCGCGAAAGCGUGGGGAUCAAACAGG